AUGAUCUUACAUGUUGAGAAGCUUCUCAGACAAGCCAAGCAACUGAUAUAUAACAGAUUUCAUCUUCAGAUCCAGGGAAAAAAAAAAGAGAGGACACGAUUUCAUUUCUGCAGAAAAACUUCUCAGAGAAGUUUCAGAGUUCUCUCUGAAAUUCUCUAUGGCUGCAAUACGAUUUUUCACAAAAAACUGAAAAAAGUCUUCAGUUCUCUCAUCUCUCAAAACUUUAUGCUCCCUUUGUAA